CCUGAAGCAGGAGGAGAAUGUGCACAAAGAAGAAGAGGACCAAACUUAUCAAAUGACAUUCGUGCAACACUAGUGGACCAUGUUGUGAACCACGGAUUGACGCUGAGGGAGGCUGGACUGAGAGUACAGCCAAAUCUUAGCAGAUAUACAGUGGCAUCUGUCAUAAUGUCACUUUCCGACAGGAAAACAGGUAAAAGAAGAUCUGUCUACAGUUACAGUAAUCAGCCGCUUAUUGUAUGCACCAUAUCCGCACUUGUGAUACCCCUUCCUGUGACAUUGUACAGUAAGUUACAUGUAUUAUUCUCUACAUAGGAUUGAGGGUCGGGAACGACAAGGAGGAAGGGGGCCCAUAUUCACGCAAGAACAAGAGAGAGAGAUAAUAGACAUGGUUUUGGCCAAUAAUGCUAUCGGGCUCAGAGAACUACAAGCCAACAUUAUCGGUGACCAUGCCAUUUUCAAUAAUGUCCAUCAGGUCUCUCAGUCAACACUGGCACGCAUCCUGAAAAGACAUCAGGUUCAAAUGAAACAACUUUAUCGAGUGCCUUUUGAGCGGAAUUCAGAGAGGGUCAAACGGCUGCGGCAUGAGUAUGUGGAGGGAGUUUUGCAGAUGGAUGCUGAGGAAAUCCUGCAUGAAUUCAUAUACUGUAUACUGAUGAGGCAGGGUUCAACCUCACAAAAGCAAGAAGGCGAGGCAGAAAUAUCAUUGGCCACAGGGCUAUAAUCAAUGUCCCAGGGCAACGUGGGGAUAACAUCACCCUUUGCGCUGCCAUUUCACAGCAUGGGGUUGUCCUCCGUCAUGCCAAAAUGGGCCUUUACAACACACCUCACAUUCUCACAUUUUUGGACCGAUUGCACCACAUCGUCACAGUAGGUAAUGAAAUGCACCAGAUGCAAUACACGGUCUUCUGGGACAAUGUGUCAUUCCACCGCUCUGCUUUGGUCCAGAACUGGUUUCAACACCAUCCACAGUUGACAGUACUAUACCUUCCACCAUACUCUCCGUUUCUAAACCCUAUCGAAGAGUUUUUCUCUGCAUGGCGGUGGAAGGUUUACGAUCUCCAGCCCCAGGCUCAGGUACCCCUCAUUCAGGCCAUAGAGGACGCCUGUGACCAAGUCGACGGCGCAGCUGUGCAAGGAUGGAUUCGACAUUCAAGACGGUUCUUCCCGCGUUGUCUUGCUAAUGACGAUAUUGCUUGUGAUGUUGAUGAAAUUCUCUGGCCAGAUCCAGCUAGGCGAAGAGAUAAUGUAUAGUAUGUUUACUGUAGUAUUUUCUGUACAAUAUUGUCAGUUUUUUUCUGAUUAUUUUUUAUGUUUGUUGUUGUUGUUAUUUACUGUAAUUGUAACCUGUACUGGAUACAGUAUUUUAAGUUUGUCUGUUGUUUGCUGAGCUAACAGUGUUAUGCACACUACUGUAGUAGCAUGAAAACUGGGACAUGUUUUGUUGUGAUUCUCCAUGUUGACAUGUUGACUGAUUUGGGUAUAUGGAGAGAAAUAAAUGAUAUUUUCCUCAGUCUGCA